AGAGCGAACGUUAGCGGCGUGCCUAACACAUGCAAGUCGCACGAGAAAGCGGGAGCAAUCCUGUGAGUAAAGUGGCGUACGGGUGAGUAACACGUGAAUCAUCUACCUUCGAGUGCGGAAUAACUGAGAGAAAUCUUAGCUAAUACCGCAUAAUACCCACGGGUCAAAGCAGCAAUGCGCUUGGAGAGGAGUUCGCGGCCGAUUAGUUAGUUGGCGGGGUAAUGGCCCACCAAGACGAUGAUCGGUA
rnacentral:rRNA from 1 species